GUGUCAGCAGCCGCGGUAAUACGUAGGGGGCAAGCGUUGUCCGGAAUUAUUGGGCGUAAAGCGCGCGCAGGCGGCUUACUAAGUCUGGUGUGAAAGCCCACGGCUCAACCGUGGAGGGCCAUUGGAAACUGGUAAGCUUGAGUGCAGGAGAGGAGAGCGGAAUUCCUGGUGUAGCGGUGAAAUGCGUAGAUAUCAGGAGGAACACCCGUGGCGAAGGCGGCUCUCUGGCCUGUAACUGACGCUGAGGCGCGAAAGCGUGGGGAGCAAACAGGAUUAGAAACCCCCGUAGUCC
rnacentral:rRNA from 1 species